GGUCCCGACCCUUGUCGGUAUCUUAAAGCCUAUUUAUGAGUUGGGGUUCUGGCUUAGAGCAUUUGUGUCUGGAAUCUUAGAUUAGUUUUGCUCAAAUGCAGUAUAUGUUAGAGAUGUGACAGAAUGUAGUAAACAAAUGGCCCUUUGUAACUUGUUUGGGUUUUAUUGGACAUUUUGGGUUGCUCUAGUCCCUGUUUUGGAAACUUUCUUGCUGCUGUAUAGGUUGUUGUUUCUCCAGGAGGCAGGAGCAGAUCCAUGUUCUUUCAGGCAGUCUUGCUACCUUUAUCAUUCCUGUAAUUGCUGAAAAUGUUUGAAAUGAUAUCAUACCUUGAGAACUUGCAUGAGUUGAUAUAUUUUUACCCUGAAGCGGGAUCCUAUUUUCUCACUUGGGUAAAUUCUUAUUCUUGAUGCCUAAUUUCCAGAAUGUAUUCCAAGCUGGUUCUAUUUCCUUUGUGUAGCAAGUAUGGAACAAUGGAACUGAUUAUUGUUAGGAUGUUGCAUAAGCUUGGAAAUUUUUAGAACAGUAAACAGAUGAUCACUCUUACAGUGUUUGUAUCAGUCAAAUGAAAUAAUAUAAGAUCUUCUGUUGUA